rnacentral:rRNA from 1 species
UGCUUGGGAAUUUGCCUUUAGGUGGGGGACAACAGUUGGAAACGACUGCUAAUACCGCAUAUUGUCUACGGACUAAAGAGGGCUUCGGCUCUCGCCUUUAGAGAAGCCCAAGUGGGAUUAGGUAGUUGGUGAGGUAAAGGCUCACCAAGCCGACGAUCCCUAGCUGGUCUGAGAGGAUGAUCAGCCACACUGGAACUGAGACACGGUCCAGACUCCUACGGGAGGCAGCAGUGGGGAAUAUUGCACAAUGGGGGAAACCCUGAUGCAGCCAUGCCGCGUGUGUGAAGAAGGCCCUUCGGU